GAUUAUAUAUUUUAAAAACCUGAGGAUUGAUUAUAAAAAACGUUUGACAUAUUUCUGUGGAUAUUACAGAUACUCUUUGGAAUUUGUCUGCAUUGUCAUGACCGCUCUUUCCUGUGGAUUUCUGAACAUAACGCGCCAAACAAACAGGUAUUUUGGAUAUAAAAAUAACCUUAAUGGAACAAAAGGAACAUUUGUUGUGUUACUGGGAGUCUCGUGAGUGAAAACAUCCUAAGAUCAAAGAUCACAGCCAUGUCAACAGUGGGCGUCAGGCUUGUAAGAGACAUGUGAGAUAUCUGUGAGAUUCAGUGAACAAGGCUGGAAGGCUCUGGGCCAGUGAACUGCUGAGUGGUGGGCGUAGAGAAGGAGGCAGCCUCCGACCACGCUGAAGAGGAGAGAAGCCCGUCCAGCCCCAUGUGGAGAGUGGCGUACACCACUGAGACAUCAGUCUGCUGCUCAAAACACACACAACACACCUGUUUACCACACACACGUUAUUAGAAAACACACCAAAUCUAAUAUAAAAAUGCCCAGUAAUGUCUAGUCUAUUUACAUAGGAAAUUGUUUAUUUACCUGGUAGCAGCUAAGCAUCACGUCCACAGACGUCUCGUGGCGGAGGUGAGACGCAUAGUGGGUCACCCUGCCAGCAACACACUGACAGAGAGAGAAUACAUGUUAAGGCCAAAUGGAAAAAGUGAAGAAAAGCCUAAUCUAAUACUAUUUCAGUAGUAUUUACGUCUUACCUGGAUCCAAGUGAUGGACUGCACUUUGGUGGCACAGUAGGGGAUGCCCUCUGGACUAAGCCUGGCUGUCUCCUUGGAGAUGGCCCACACCAGUUGAGUCUCCAGGACUCUCACCCUAAUCACGUGGUGAAUCCUAACCACCGCCUGCUGUUGAGAUAAACAACAAGACAACAUCAACAAAACCACUUCAGCAAUGGCUGUGACACAUUUCCAUCAAGAUCAAAUGACUGACAAUGUAGAUUAGGAUUAGGUAGUUACAAAGACACAUACAUGGGAUCCCCCACGCAUGUAGGUGAUGAUGGGGCUGAUGAACUGGAGAGUUCUCCAAGCUUUAACCACCGGACCGGCAUUGUUCUGCACAUUACAAUACAUUCAUGUUGUAAACAUUGUAACCGUGAUGUGACUGUGUGUGUGUGUGUGUGGGGGGGGGGGUGUUCAUUUUUGUGUCCGUACUCUGAGGUGUGUUUGAAUAUGAAUGAGCAGCAGUGUUGUGAUGUGUCCUAUCCCGUCCUUCCAGAGGGAUCUUUCUUGGCCUCAUCACGUCUCAGUGGCUGGGUGUUUGGAGGGAGGGGGACACCACCACGGGACAGACCCCACAGUCAUCGCUAGAGAUCGAACUUCAGACUCCCUCCAAAACCACUGAACCCCUCAACACACAAAGAGAUUACGGUGCACACCCUUAGAGGAAGUCGGAACAGGAUAACUCCCUCCAAACUCACAAAGACACAGAGGAGGAGGAACUAUCCAACACCCAGUGAGAGAGAACAAGUCAGAAAGAGAAGGUGGAAGAGGCGUUAGAUAGAGGAGGAGGUUACCCCAGAGGCCAUUCCUCCUGUUCAUGUGAGCAAGAAAGAGCAGAAUGCUUCUGAUCAGCCAAAUGGCAGGUAGAGGGAGAGGUCAUAGUGAUUCACACCCAGAGAGAAAGAAAACCCACACAAUCUCUUGGAUGUGAUGAACCACACAGAGGUAGAGGCAGAGGGCCUUCAGGGAUAGCCAGUCAGCCUGCCUGCUCUGAUCCUCAAGUCAAUUGUAUUUAAAUUCAUGUUCAUUGAAGAUUUUUAUUCAAGAAUUGACAAGUCCCAUUUAUUUAAUGAUCAUUUUUCACUGUCUUCAACCCUCAAGAACCAGGGUGAGUCUGGGUCACCCUUUUCCUGGGCAAACACAACUUGCAUAUCAUCAUAGACUCGGCCGAAAUGUUAAACUUUUAACCUUGCCUGAAUAAAGCAAUGCAUUUUUUUUUAUAGUGAGCAAGAGUUGCGCUAUUUCCUUUUCUAUGAUGAUUCAAAUUUUUGGUUGCACCUCAAC